rnacentral:rRNA from 1 species
UACAGAGGGUGCAAGCGUUAAUCGGAAUUACUGGGCGUAAAGCGCACGUAGGUGGAUGAUUGAGUCUGAUGUGAAAUCCCUAGGCUUAACCUAGGAAUGGCGUUAGAAACGAAUGGUCUAGAGUCGGACAGAGGGACGUGGAAUUUCCGGUGUAGCGGUGAAAUGCGUAGAGAUCGGAAAGAACACCAGUGGCGAAGGCGACGUCCUGGGUCCAGACUGACACUGAGGGGCGAAAGCGUGGGGAGCAAACAGG